AAGGGACCUGUAAUACAAGACAAAACUGCUAAUUUUUUCUACCAGGACUAACCCCCUGGGCCCCUUA
rnacentral:tRNA from 1 species